rnacentral:rRNA from 1 species
AUGGAACCAUUUUCGGAAAUAAGGGAUGGGCUGGGACUGGAGGACAUGGUUGGUCAGCAUGGAGAUGGUGUUAAUAUCCAUGUGAAUGCUGACCAGCUUGCUGCACAUACGACAGUUGUUGCAGCAAGUGGAGGUGCAAGCUUCGGGAUUGUGAAUGAUGAUGCUACUUCUGCAAAUGAGAGUGGGAAUAGACCAGUGGUUUGUUGGCGCCAAAGAAAAGGAAAGAAAUUGGGCGCCCGACAACUAGCCGUGAGAAGGCACCGUACGAGGAGCUCAGCAAGCGGACCAGGUUCUGUAGCAUAUGUCGGCAGCAACACUACUAGGGAAAAGCUUAUAGGCAGACGCUUACUAGUAGCGAGGGUCUAUAACCCUCGCUACUGCUCCUUAUUAGUAGCAUGUGUUUUUACCCCUCGCUACUACUAA